rnacentral:rRNA from 1 species
AUUGAACGCUGGCGGCAGGCUUAACACAUGCAAGUCGAACGAGUGGCGGACGGGUGAGUAAUGUCUGUGAAACUGCUCGAUGGAGGGGGAUAACUACUGGAAACGGUAGCUAAGACCGCAUACCAUCAGAUGAACCCAUAUGGGACUAGCUCGUAUGUGAGGUAACGGCUCACCUAGGCGACGAUCCCUAGCGGGUCUGAGAGGAUGAUCAGCCACACUGGGACUGAGACACGGCCCAGAAUCCUACGGGAGGCAGCAGUGGGGAAUAUGGCACAAUGGGCGCAAGCCUGAUGCAGCCAUGCCGCGUGUAUGAAGAAGGCCUUCGGGUUGUAAAGUACUUUCAGGCGGGAUGCGUUACCGACAGAAGAAGCACCGGCUCACUCCGUGCCAGCCGCCGCGGUAAUUC